ACCGCGAUAGCUCGGCUGGUAGAGCAUCUGCCCAGUAUGCGGAGGGUCGCCGAUUCGACUCCGGCUCACGGGG
rnacentral:tRNA from 1 species